ACGAACGCUGGCGGCGUGCUUAACACAUGCCAGUCGUACGGUAAGGCCCUUUCGGGGGUACCCGAGUGGCGAACGGGUGAGUAACACGUGAGUAACCUGCCCACAACUUUGGGAUAACGCUAGGAAACUGGUGCUAAUACUGGAUAUGUGCUCCUGCUGCAUGGUGGGGGUUGGAAAGCUCCGGCGGUUGUGGAUGGACUCGCGGCCUAUCAGCUUGUUGGUGGGGUAGUGGCCUACCAAGGCGGCGACGGGUAGCCGGCCUGAGAGGGUGACCGGCCACAUUGGGACUGGGAUACGGCCCAGACUCCUACGGGAGGCAGCAGUGGGGAAUAUUGCACAAUGGGCGCAAGCCUGAUGCAGCAACGCCGCGUGCGGGAUGACGGCCUUCGGGUUGUAAACCGCUUUCAGCAGGGACGAAGCUUUUUGUGACGGUACCUGCAGAAGAAGCACCGGCUAACUACGUG
rnacentral:rRNA from 1 species